AUCAGGUUCUGGUAACCCUACGCUUCUUUGCAAGUGGAAGUUUCCUGCAAAUCUCUGGCGACACAAUAGGGAUAGACAAAUCAACAACCUCACGAGUUGUUAGGAUGAUUUCCCUUGCCAUUGCGUCUCUUGUGCCGAGGUUUGUAACCUGGCCGUCCGAGAGGGAUAUAGGUGACAUUAGAAAAGAAUUCUACAAUAUAUCUCGAUUUCCUGGAGUCAUCGGAUGUAUCGACGGGACACAUGUACGGGUACUGGCACCAUCAGACAACGAACCUGCUUUUGUCAAUAAGAUCAGGCUACCAUUCGAUCAACGUUCAAGCAAUGUGUGACAGCCAAGGUAAAGUUACUAACUUAGUGACGAGAUGGCCAGGCAGUACACAUUACAGUCACGUGUUCACGAUGAGUAACGUGCGGCAACACCUGGAAUCACACCAUACCACUCUACAAGACGACGUUAUUCUCGGUGACAGUGGAUACGCAUGUCGUUCGUAUUUGAUGAAUCCGUAACUGAAACCAUCUACCCCCGAGCAAGAGCAAUUCAACUCUUCCCAUAAAAAAACAAGGUCAACCAUAGAAAGAGCAUUUGGGUGGCUCAAACGGCGUUUCAAUGUUCUGCACGUUGAAAUCAGGAUGAGCCCAGAGAGAGUUUGACCAUCAUUGGUGCUUGUGCUGUGUUGCAUAAUCUGGCGAUAAUUCUUCGUGAACCCAUGCUGGAUGUUGAUGGAGAGGACGACCGUAACAUUGAAGGACAAUAUACAGGUCGGGA